rnacentral:rRNA from 1 species
GACGAACGCUGGCGGCGUGCUUAACACAUGCAAGUCGAACGGAAAGGCCCUGCUUUUGUGGGGUGCUCGAGUGGCGAACGGGUGAGUAACACGUGAGUAACCUGCCCUUGACUUUGGGAUAACUUCAGGAAACUGGGGCUAAUACCGGAUAGGAGCUCCUGCUGCAUGGUGGGGGUUGGAAAGUUUCGGCGGUUGGGGAUGGACUCGCGGCUUAUCAGCUUGUUGGUGGGGUAGUGGCUUACCAAGGCUUUGACGGGUAGCCGGCCUGAGAGGGUGACCGGCCACAUUGGGACUGGGAUACGGCCGGGACUCCUACGGGAGGCAGCAGUAGGGAAUAUUGCACAAUGGGCGGAAGCCGGAUGCAGCAACGCCGCGUGCGGGAUGACGGCCUUCGGUUUGUAAACCGCUUUCGCCUGUGACGAAGCGUGAGUGACGGUAAUGGGUAAAGAAGCACCGGCUAACUACGUG